GUGCUGAUUUGCUUAUUGCACCACAUGUGUUUUUCUUUGAAACAAACUUGCUUUGGCGGUGGGCCCAGCCUGCCGCCAGAGGUCUAAACUUGCAACCAAUUUUUUAUCAACUUGUCACACCAGAUUAUUACUAAUAGUCAAAACUUUCAACAACGGAUCUCUUGGUUCUCGCAUCGAUGAAGAACGCAGCGAAAUGCGAUACGUAAUAUGAAUUGCAGAUAUUCGUGAAUCAUCGAAUUUUUGAACGCACAUUGCGCCCUCUGGUAUUCCGGAGGGCAUGCCUGUUUGAGCGUCGUUUCUCCCUCAAACCGCUGGGUUUGGUGUUGAGCAAUACGACUUGGGUUUGCUUGAAAGACGGUAGUGGUAAGGCGGGAUCGCUUUGACAAUGGCUUAGGUCUAACCAAAAACAUUGCUUGCGGCGGUAACGUCUACCACGUAUAUCUUCAAACUUUGACCUCAAAUCAGGUAGGACUACCCGCUGAACUUAAGCAUAUCAAAA
rnacentral:rRNA from 1 species